rnacentral:rRNA from 1 species
GACGAACGCUGGCGGCGUGCCUAAUACAUGCAAGUAGAACGCUGAAGAGAGGAGCUUGCUCUUCUUGGAUGAGUUGCGAACGGGUGAGUAACGCGUAGGUAACCUGCCUUGUAGCGGGGGAUAACUAUUGGAAACGAUAGCUAAUACCGCAUAACAAUGGAUGACACAUGUCAUUUAUUUGAAAGGGGCAAUUGCUCCACUACAAGAUGGACCUGCGUUGUAUUAGCUAGUAGGUGAGGUAAUGGCUCACCUAGGCGACGAUACAUAGCCGACCUGAGAGGGUGAUCGGCCACACUGGGACUGAGACACGGCCCAGACUCCUACGGGAGGCAGCAGUAGGGAAUCUUCGGCAAUGGGGGCAACCCUGACCGAGCAACGCCGCGGGAGUGAAGAAGGUUUUCGGAUCGUAAAGCUCUGUUGUAAGUCAAGAACGGGUGUGAGAGUGGAAAGUUCACACUGUGGCGGUAGCUUACCAGAAAGGGACGGCUAACUACGUG